rnacentral:rRNA from 1 species
GAGUUUGAUCAUGGCUCAGAUUGAACGCCGGCGGCAGGCUUAACACAUGCAAGUCGAACGGUUAAUUGGUGCUUGCAUCAAUUGAUAGUGGCGAACGGGUGAGUAAUACCUAGGAAUCUGCCUAAUAGUGGGGGAUAACGUUCGGAAACGGACGCUAAUACCGCAUACGUCCUACGGGAGAAAGGGGGCACUUGUGCUCUCGCUAAUAGAUGAGCCUAGGUCGGAUUAGCUAGUUGGUAGGGUAAAGGCCUACCAAGGCUACGAUCUGUAGCGGGUCUGAGAGGAUGAUCCGCCACACUGGAACUGAGACACGGUCCAGACUCCUACGGGAGGCAGCAGUGGGGAAUAUUGGACAAUGGGGGAAACCCUGAUCCAGCCAUGCCGCGUGUGUGAAGAAGGCCUUUUGGUUGUAAAGCACUUUAAGCGGGGAAGAGGGCGUUAUGGUUAAUACCCAUAGGCGUCGGACAUUACCCGCAGAAUAAGCACCGGCUAACUCUGUGCCAGCAGCCGCGGUAAUACAGAGGGUGCGAGCGUUAAUCGGAAUUACUGGGCGUAAAGCGCGCGUAGGCGGUUUUGUAAGUUGGAUGUGAAAUCCCCGAGCUUAACUUGGGCACUGCAUUCAAAACUGCAAGACUAGAGUAUGGGAGAGGAAGGUAGAUUCCAGGUGUAGCGGUGAAUGCGUAGAGAUCUGGAGGAUACCGAUGGCGAAGCAGCCUCUGGCC